rnacentral:pre_miRNA from 1 species
AUACUUACUCUUUUUACUUUUAUGCUGACGAUCCUUGGGAAGAAUCCAACUACCCCCCCCCCUUGUUGUUAGUUGGAUUCUGCCCAAGGAUCGUCAGCAUAAGAGUAAAAAAAAGUAAGUAU